GGAGUCUAGCAUGUGCGCGAGUCAUUGGGACUUUGCGAAACCUAAAGGCGAAAUGAAAGUGAAAGCGCGCCUUGCGCGCGCCGAGGGAGGAUGAGUGGUCUAUUUGACUGCUCCGCACUCCCGGGGCGUCUCGUUCUCAUCGCGAGAAGAGGCGCACCCAGAGCGUACACGCUGGGACCCGAAAGAUGGUGAACUAUGCCUGGUCAGGACGAAGUCAGGGGAAACCCUGAUGGAGGUCCGUAGCGAUUCUGACGUGCAAAUCGAUCGUCGGAACUGGGUAUAGGGGCGAAAGACUAAUCGAACCAUCUAGUAGCUGGUUCCCUCCGAAGUUUCCCUCAGGAUAGCUGGCGCUCGUUAACGGGCGAGUCUCAUCCGGUAAAGCGAAUGAUUAGAGGCAUUGGGGUCGAAACGGCCUCAACCUAUUCUCAAACUUUAAAUGGGUGAGAUCUCCGGCUUGCUUGAACGCAUGAAGCCGCGAGAUCGGAUCAGAGUGCCAAGUGGGCCACUUUUGGUAAGCAGAACUGGCGCUGUGGGAUGAACCAAACGCGGAGUUAAAGCGCCUAAAUCGACGCUUAUGGGAUACCAUGAAAGGCGUUGGUAACUUAAGACAGCAGGACGGUGGCCAUGGAA
rnacentral:rRNA from 1 species